CAGUUAAAAGCUAGGGCUAGGACUUGGAGGAUGUGUAGGCAAACGGAAGGACAGCCGGGGGAAGAAAAACCGAAAUGGAUUCAUUCUCUGUCCUGGAUGGAGGAGGAGAGGAGAAGAGAAGGGGACGUGCGAGCUUCCUUCAACUGCCUCUGUCCGGUGAAAAGUGCUCAGACCCCCGGGGCUGAGCGGGGCUCAGGAGUGCGCGCGGACUUUCGCUUUAAGCUGCCAAUCAAAGCGCUAACUAGCCACCACCCUGCUCUGGCAUCGACAUGAUCUGCGGGAUGUCCCCUUGUGAGAGGCAACUCAGCAGCUCCGUCGCCUCUGCCAUCUCAGCACUGCCAGUGGAGAAGCCCAGGAGGAGCGCAGAGCAGUGGCUGAGCGGCAAUUUGAAUAUUCAUAUUUAACUCUUCAAACAACAGAAGAUACUUCAAAACCAUAUGUGAGACAAAAUGACAUUAAACUUUCAAUCAUUAAACCUCUGUUUAGCUGUACUCCCGAAAUGAGCAGUUCAUAACAAACGGGGAAUUCUGAUUGACAGUUUGCCAUCAGGAGCCCUUAAGUAGGAUUUUUCCAGCUAUAACGCAGCGUACCCUUCAGUGCUCCCUUUCGCAAGAUGCUAUUUCAAGUAUAGGAGCGCGAGGAAAAUUUACAUAAAAGCUUUGUAUAUAAUACAUGAUUGCUCUGAAAUUAAGAAGCACCAGUUUUCCCCUUAUUGUUUUAGAAAUGAAGAGUGCACUUUGUUUUCUUGUUUACUUAGUGAGCUCUCUGAUCCCUUGAUGUGUUUCAAGCGUUUGCUGUCAGCAUCAUGAGACCUUGCUUACCUGGUAAAUUUUAUGUGUGAAAUGAUUAGUGUUCAAAAUGCCUGAAAAAAACAACAGUAACGAUGUCUGACAACUUUUCUUUCUUUUAUUUCCCCCCCCCCCCUUCUUAAAUAAUAUUUCAUGGUACAUUAAAUGAGUUACUCAGUCUCUUCUUAAGAGACCCAAGCAACGUAUUGCCGCAUACUUAAUGUUUCAUCAAGCAGCUAGUUUUUAAGAGGAAGAAAGCCAAAGGCAGCCUGGAAUCCUUCCCUGAGCCUUUUCUCAGUUUGUUCUGAAUUUGAUAAGGAAUGGUAAUAAUUUGGAGACAGAUAAAGAAAAAUAAAUAUUAUUUCCCAAUAAACCUCUUAGUGUGUCAUUUGCGAUCACAGGCAGAUAUGAGAAAUGAUACUCGUUAAAUCCACUGAACACUACUUUUUCAGAAGUUGAAAUGUUUUUAGCCAAACUGCUUUCUCGAUGAUCGCUUCGGAUGUAACAGUUAGAGCCAGAGUAGCCCAAGGAGAGAAGCAAUUAAAACAUUUACGUAUUUGAUUCUUGAUAGACAUCUCUACAAGGUAGGUUUUAACAUUUUUUUUCUUCUUAAUUUUUUCUUUUUUUUUUCUUUUUUUUUUUUUUUCAGUAAGAAGGAUAAGCUUGGAGUGCCCAGUCACCGUGGUAACUGCCAGAAAAAUUCUCCUGAAGUUUGAAGAGGUCAGCUAACGGGGUCAACAACUCUGGCCUCUCCCUGAGCUGGGCCUGGCAGGCUCCAUCCUGCGGCUGGGGUGUUAGCGCAGGCUGAGCCCUGGGAGGUGGACCAUUCCAGCUCUGAUAUAAAUUUUUUGAGUCAGUUCACGGCCUGGACUCUCCAGGUGGCCUCCAAAAUCGAUUGUGACCUUGUGACCCUGUCUAACGGAGGCAUAGCAUCCAGCCUAAGUAAGGAUUUAGCCAGGAACGACAGCUUUCCACUGAGUGUUAUUGGGGACAGUACAAACAGUUUUGGAAGCAAGGAGGUUCUCACAUACUGGCAAGACGCUACAGCCCCCAUGUGAUAAAGAUCAGAGGGAAAUACUUAUUUGAAGAAAUCUUUGUCAUUAGCUAUAUUGAGAUAACUCAAGAGGCAAAAAAACCCUGUAUAAAAUGAAACAGCAAACUGUGUAUCUGUGUGCACAUACAUGUGUAUUUGCAUGUAGUGCUGCUGACACGCUUGUUUUCAAGUGGAAUUUCAGUGAUGGAUGACUCAACACAAACUUUAAGUGUAUGGCAGGCUGUUUUUGUGUGGUGCCUGCUGCUUAUUUCAUGAGCUGCUCUUUCCCAUCCCAAGCAAGCCUAACGCGUUGCAGCGCUGGCAGCACCCCACCGGCCUUGUGACGGGGAUGCGAUAUUGAAAUUCCAGGAGCUCUUUUCCCACUGCCGACUCGGAGCAGAGGUGACUUUGGUGGCAAAGGGGCUGCGUGGGGGCCGGCCGGGCUCUCGGGGUGCUGCGCGGCAGUGGGAGGCAUCGGUGGCCCUGGAGUUCCUGCAGGCGUUGAACAUCCGAAGGGUGUCUGGCAGCGUUGCGUCCACGUGUGUCACGUGCAUCCGGGCGCGUGAGCGCGGUGGGUGUUUGCUCGUCCGGCUGCCGAACACGUGGUGACCGCGGCAGGGGAGGGCGGCUCUGGGGCUGCUCUGGGUGCAGGAGUUGCUGAGAUCACCCCAUCCCUAUGGCUCUGCACAGUCCCCUGGUCUGUCUGAAACUGUGCGCAAAGUUUCUUCGAAACAUGGGUUUAAUACGCUUGCAGACUUGACAGUCUCCUUUUGAGUGAAAACAUUGAUGUUAAGCAAAAGGCACGUUUGCCUCUCCAAAUAAAUGGAAUUAUGGUUCCAAGAUCUGACUUAAUCCUGAAGCUCUUACACUGUACAGUAAGUAGAAAAGAAAGGGGGCUGCUCAGAGGAGCAGGGUUAGCAGCAUCAGGCUCCAGUUUAUGCCAUCUCGCUCGUUUUCCUUCUGGUAUUUAAUACACCUUUUUCAGAACUCCCACUGGCUGUUUAUUACAAAGUCAAAGUCACUUCACAUCCAUUACCUCAUGGCAAACAAACAAAUAAUUCAAAAUUGUGAGGGAUGCUACAGAGAGUGCCCAUCCAGCUUUCCUGCUAGGAAAAUUUGAGGAUUGUUAAACAAACGAAAACUGCAAUUCUUCCAGAUGUAUUUUCAUCAUAAAGUCAUGUCCUUUUUCAAUUCAUUUCAGGACUUUUCUCAAAUGCAUUGUAACUAUUUGUUCUUUUUCUACAUAAUUCUCUUUGUGAAACUGUAUUUAAAAUCUGGUUUGACAUUUCAAGGGGUUUGAGGGAAGAAGUUUACAAAAUAAUG